UACGUAGGGUGCAAGCGUUAAUCGGAAUUACUGGGCGUAAAGCGUGCGCAGGCGGUGAUGUAAGACAGGUGUGAAAUCCCCCGGGCUUAACCUGGGAACUGCAUUUGUGACUGCAUGGCUAGAGUGCGGCAGAGGGGGAUGGAAUUCCGCGUGUAGCAGUGAAAUGCGUAGAUAUGCGGAGGAACACCGAUGGCGAAGGCAAUCCCCUGGGCCUGCACUGACGCUCAUGCACGAAAGCGUGGGGAGCAAACAGG
rnacentral:rRNA from 1 species